AGCGCCCGCAGGCCUGAGCCCCGAAGGGAGCCCUACCGCUGGUACGCAGCCGGGUCCCAGGAGCCGGGCAGCCGAAUGCUGUGCACCGCCUUGUUCCGGAGGGCGCUGUCGUGAUAGAUGCGGCUCAUCGGGAUGGAGGAGUCAGAAGCAACCAAGCCAUCUUCCCAAAAUAGAAUGAAACCUGAACUGGACUUACAAGGCAGAAGAUAAGAGUUUCCCUGGCUCUGCCACUUGACUAGCAGUGUGACCAUGAUUAAACUCCUUAAUCUCUGGACCUGGAUUUUCUCAUCUGUAAAAAUAAAAGGGUUGAAUCUCUAAGGGCCCUUCUUUUGCUGAA